rnacentral:siRNA from 1 species
UGUUAGGUGUAGCUGGUGUA